GCUCUAACGCUCCCAGCUCUCUGUCCUUCUUAUCUCACCCUCCUUUCUUUCUUUCCUUAAUGCUCCGCCUGCAGAUCUCUGGAGAGUGACGCAGAUGAGAAGCGCUCAGACAGCCAGCCGUCUCUGUGCGGGGAGAGCAAGCUGGGCAGCGACGACUCUCUGGCUGAAUACGGGGACAGCGUGGACAUCCAGUUCAACGAGGACGGCUCGUUCAUCGGCCAGUACAGUGGCCGGGGGCCCGUCACCCACGGCAACGAGAGCUCUGGUCCCGCCUCUCCCGUCAACGCAGUCCCGCCUCCACCCAUCGCUCCAUCCAUGUCGAGCAUCCUGAACCGGCCCAGCUAGACACACACAUACACACGACAAAAAUACACACACACAUACACACUGCCUGCCUGCAACAAAACACAAAGGGACAGACCACUCCUGACUCCACUGCCUGUAAUGUAAAAUUGCCAGAACACACACACACACAAACACACACACACACGCACGCACACAAACUCACACUGUCUCAGUACAUUCCACAGGUUUAUGCAGUGAAGAUGUUUACAGGAUGUCUCACCUUUCUACUCCGAGUUUACACACACACACACACACACACGCGCGCGCGCGUGCAACACAUUCAAUCAGAAAGAGCUUCACUCUUCCAUCAGACAGACAGACAGAGGGAGGUGGAGGACAGGAGUCAGUUGUACCAGCUGUUUAAACUUAGACAAGUUACAAACAGGGUUUCCGUUUGGUGCUGGUCGGCGUCACAGAUUCACGGACACAUGGGAGAAACUCUGGUCGAAUAUGAUGAUGAUGUUUAUUGAUCUUAAAAGCAGUCGAUUGGCAGGCUAUAUAAGAAAAUGACAUCAUCAAGAUAUGUAGAUUUUAGAGAUGUCACGGUGGGGACAUUUUCCUAGUGGGUAAUAAACACCGGUGUUACAGAUUAUGAUGGAUAUUUUACAAUAGAAGAAAUUUGUUGAUGGCGCUGUGUUAAGUUACUGCUGAUGCAAAUGGAAAAUUUAUUUACUGCUGCAGCUUCUACUUGACUUUUAUUAUGAUGGGGUCACAGGAAAUGAAAUGCGUUUGUCGGUGACAUUAAUCCUCCUGCUACCGUUUAUCAAAACUACAUCUACCAAAACAAGGCCAGGGUAAUUUUUGGCAUUUCUUCACAGCGGAUAUUGUAGGGAGUGAUGGAACAAGAAGGAGCAGCCACGAAAUGUUCCCAUAUUUUGCUUUUCGCUUUGAAACCAAAUCCUCUGCCAUUGUCUUGUCGAAUAGCCUAGCCUUCAUUACUCUGGGGAAUUGUAAAGAAAUUCCUUUAAGAUUUUGGCCUAAAUAUUUUCAGAUAAAACAAAAACGGAAUAAAAAAUAUUUGCAAACAAACCAAAAACUACAUGCCGGCCUUUCUGGCUUUUAACAUCUUAAUCAGCUUUUCCUGUUCUAUUUCCGUUUGCUACAGGCCACAUUCACAAGAAUAAAAAAAAGAUCAUUUUUAAAUAGAAGCCUAUCUAGAAUUUUAAUUUUAGCUCAUUUUAACUUUCAAAUUCUGUGUAGAGGGAAUUAUUUUAACCCAAUAUUACGACCAGAGAGAUUUAAAUAUGCCGGACUUCAACAGGAAAAAAAUAACCAGAUAACAGAAACUCUGGAUACAACAUAAGUCUUUACUAAGUUGAUUAACGCAGGUUGCACCAGACAAACUAGUUCUUACGUAGAGAUCAGUUGUUACGAAGUAUUUACAUCCAGGAACUUCUUGACGAAAUGGUUAAGUAGUAGAGAACAAGCCAAACCCGACAUAUGAACCGUUUGGAGCGAUGACACGAGCUAACUGGAAAUGUGUUCAACAUCAGUGGGUAAAUGUGACGAUGAUGGAAAUAUUUAUGUUCAUAACCGGAUCAGAUGAUGAGGAUUGUGGGCCGACAGAUUAUGUCGGAAAUCUGAUGCUGCAGUCGGCUUCCUUGUUUACAUUUUCAGAUGCUUUCUGAUUGGAUGCUGCCACAGAUGUUGCUCGGUAACCAAUUCACACGCCUAACGUUUUUACCUGGUUGUAACUCGUCUGACUAGUUGGAGACUGGAUAGCAGUGACAAACAAACAGCUGGUGCAGCUCAGUCCAGGAGAGGAAGAUGAUGGUUGAUGUGAUGAAGAGUGAGACUAAGAAAAGGGAGAUUUCAUCUUGUCUGACCAAAACGUCUCCCACUCAUCCUGUCCAAACAUUUAUUCUGUUUAACUCAUUUAAGUUGUUGUUUUUAUGUAAACAUCACCCUUUUCAUUCAUAGUUUUUAUAUUCUGUGCAUCAUCAUCAUCAUCAUCAUCAUUAAACGUCACCACUAUGUGUCCUUGUUUAUGCUGUUUACAAGCUAUUUAUUUGUGUUUGUGUGCAUGCGUCUGGGGAUGAUCUUGCUAUUUAUUGAUGUGUGCGCGGCCGUGAGAGCGGCUCCCAAAAACCUAAGAUGCAUGCCCCUCCCUGAGGCAUCUGAAAAUCACUCAGUUGAUAUUUAGUGUUUGAGUUUAGAGACUGACUGUUACUUUGUGUGUGUGUGUGUGUGUGUCUGUGUGUGUGUGUGAGUGAGUGAUUGUUCGUGCUCUCAGUCGCUGCCCUGUAACCCACGGCGAUUGGAGAUCUGUUGCCUUAAGAGAGUCCAGUUGAGCCUCCUCUCCUCCGUCUUUCUGUCCAUCCAUCUGUCAAUCAUCCGUUUGUCCUCACACACACACACACACACACACGCACACACGCACACAUGUUCCUUUUCAUUCAUCCUCCUGUUUGCUUGGCAGGUGAAAUGCAGGAUCAGGAUGCUACGGUGGCCCAGAGAGCUCACAGCACCACAAACACACACAAAGAGGGAACACGAUGGGAAUGACUGACGAAACAGUUCAAUUAACUUAAUCUAUAUUUCACCCGCAAAAGGACCAUUUUUACAUCCAUUACUCACCACGAUGAGUUUGUGAAGAGAACGUGUUGUUUCUCACAUGCCUCCAUGGUGCAAAAAGAACCCAGAGGUGAACAUUCUCCAUGAAUUUAAGAAGUCAGGAUCCACUUUUAACAACUGAGAAAACACAUCAAAACAUCAGUUUACAAACUCUACACAAGUCAUGCAGUAUUAUCCACGUCUCAUUUAUGCAAUCAUAUGAUCAGUGCUUCACAAAUACGACUUUUCACUAAAUCAUUAUCAUGUGAAACACUUCCGCCUACAAGUAGGUCGCCCUGAGCAUGUCUGAGCAUGUGCAUACACAAGAGACAGAGCAGAUGACAGGCUGUUGAAUUAACAGAAGGAAGAGAAGAAUUAGAAAUUUGUGUUGUUAAUCUGGCUUGGGCCCAAAAGCUCAGGUGGGGUUUGAGCUCAGGUGUGCUGUGGACAGAAACUGUGCAGGUUCAUGUGGGGUCAGGCCUGAUUUUUUUUGGCCUGAUCAAAGCUCUAGUUUAUACUGACACAUUUUAUGUUUCAAUGUCUUAGUGGAAACGCUUGUGUUUGUUAAGUCCUGAUCAUACGACUGGAUCAAUGAGACUUGGAUUAUACUGCACGUGCUAUGUGAGAGUUGUACACGGAUGUUUUCAUAUAGUUUUUAUGUUGUUAAACGUUGAGUAAUUGAUAUACAAGUUAUCAUUUUGCCGGUGAAGUCUUCCUUAAAUAUUCUGAUUGCAUGAUUGCAAUAUUAUAUAAUAUUUGUACUGGUGAAAUAAAAAUCAGCAAAAAGAAAAAAAUUAGAUUAACAGCAAAUAUCUGCAAUAAUAUGUUGAUCUGCAAUCCGAAGGUUGAAACAAACAUGGUGGAAUGUCAAUGAAAGAAAGUCAACUUCAGUGAUGUCAUGCACCAAAAACCGUGGCAACAAGCAGUGUUUCCCAGCUGUGUUCAGGUGUGGCUCCUAGAAAUGGUUAUUUUAUUUUUGUUUUUGUCUAUUUACAUGCGUUUUCUUAAGCUGCAGUGCAUUGAGCCUUUAGGGCCACUGUAGAGUAUUAUUACAGACAGAAAUACACACACACACGCACAUCUUACACACACAUGUAUACUGAUGCAUGCAUAAAUUAAAGGACUAUGGAAACCACAUGGAGGGCCAGUCCUCUGUAGCAAAACCAUUUUGGACCCUCUGAAGGAGAGAGGGAGGAUGGAGGAAGAGGAGGACAGACAAACAUGAGGAGGAGGAGGAGUUGACAGAAAUAGAGAAUCUGACGUAUCGUUCUCUGAAUGUAAAUAGAACCUUGAGAUUGUCAUUUUUUUAUUUCCAUUGCUUCUUUUAUAAGAUGAUCAAAAUGUAAUUGUUUUUUCAUUAUCUGUUGCUCUGUAUGAUUUUGUACUGCGGCGCUCCUCCGCUGACCUGCUGCAGCCUUUGUAUCAUACAACCCCUCCCCCACCCCACCCACCCACCCCGCCAUCGUCUCCUCUUAGGUUUUCCUCUUGUGUCACCUUGUAGCUCAGAGACAUUUAGAGAAGACUAGAACCAUAGAAUCACCCCUCCCCUUCAUCCAGUUUUUUUAUAGCGCUUAGAGAUGCAGCAGAUAAUAUUGAUUAUUAAGAAGUCACGUCAUAAAUGUUAACAUUUAUACACCUCGCCAUGGCAGUGCUGUUUAAAUGGGCGAGAUGCAGCCUCGGGAAUGGGCCGAUACUGGAAAUCAGUCGUAAAACUUAGAGGGUUUAUUUUUGUGGCUCUGUUGUGCGAGACAAACUCAAUCUGACAAAUUAUGUGAAGCAGGAUCACCAACCAGGAAUAUCCUGUGUGUUUGGACCCAAACGUUUAUUUUCAAUGUUUGUGGAGCAGAGAGCAGCGGUAGGGACGGGCCUGAUGAGUCACUUCACACACACACACACACUGAGCAGAGUUGUAGCUCUCAUGUUGCUGUUUGUUUUCUAUUUUUAUUAAUGUUAAUAAUCCCAUGAAAAGACCAAAAUCAAAGUGUUCAUCUGUCUCCUUAAAACUGUCUGACUCCCUGUCUGUGGCUCACAGCUCCAAGCUCGCUGGUUCCUACUGAGGCAACGUAUCCUCAAACAGUGGUUUGUAUGAUAUCCUAUGAAUUAGUGCCCUACAGAUGUUAUGUCUUAAACAUGACAUCAUGUAAUUAAUGUGAAGUUACAGAGGUUAAGUUCAGACGUGUAAAGUUACUUUGGUUAGGAUUUAGGAAAAGACACAAGGUGAAUACGAUCCUUAAAAUGACUCAAAGUUCACACCGUUCUGAACAUCAGCCUCCUGGGGAAAGUCCUGUGGACCGCUCGGGACCACUCCCUUCUUUACUCCCCUCAGCGCAUUAUCACACGAUCGCAGCCUCACAGAAUAUGUGGGUUAUGAACAAAUUACUGGCUCAUGCUUACGUGGGAUAUGUACGAAUUUCGGUGUAUUACUUUUCAAAGGAAAACAUAUGAACGCUGCAUGAGAACAGCCUUCAGACUUCAGACGUCAGUCUUUGAAAGAUCCCAAGACAAAAUACUUUUAAUUCCAAAUAAUAAUUUGUCUGAUGUGGUUUUUCCACAAAAUGGUGCUUUAACAAUUUGCAAAACAGCUGACCUCAUAGAACAGUUCGUAUGAUAUCCUACCAAUUAGAGCUCCAUGAAUAACAUUGUGUCCUUAAUGCAAUGUUACGAAAUUAACAUAAAGCUACGAAGGUUAGGUUUAGGCAAGUAAAGUUACUGUGGUUAGGUUUAGGGAAAAGAAACAUAGUGAGCCUUAAAAUAACUUAAAGUUCACCCAUUUCCAACCCGGUCUCCUGCGAAAGGUCCAGUGUAUUGUCAACUAUCCACCACCCCAACUGGCACUGAAAUUAAAGGUGACAGAAAGUCCUUCUUAAUUUUACUCCCAAACAGCUUUCGACCCUCAAUGGGCAGCUCUGUUUUCCAAACUCACACUGAAACAUCAAGCUGACGAGAAAGUGAGAAAAAUGGUAUUACAGUCUGGACACAGCGCUGAAACACAGAGACAAGAGGGAAUAAAGAGGGUAAUGGUCUUUUAGGGGGGAAGUUAGGUUGGUGGAUGUUUCAUUAAACACAGGACUUUUCCUCUGGAGUUUCCCCAGAAGCCCGAGGUUCAGAACCAAGUGAACAUUGUGUCACUUUCAUGUAUAUCGUCGCCAGGUUUCUUUUUGUAAACCUGACCACAGUAACUUUACAUGAUGUCCAUACUGUCAUUCAUGGGACUCUAAUUUGAAGGAUCCAAUGUGUGUGCACUUUCAUAUGAUAUCAUACAGACCUUUGUAAGAGGAUACGUUGACGGGGUCGUGAUGAAUAAAGGACACAAUUAUGCAAAAUGCUUUGCUACAAAUAUUUUGCAUCGAAGCUAUUUAAACCUGCAGUGAUGCAAAUUUGUGACAGUUGCAACACCUGUUGAAUUACAGGUUGGAAAUAGAUUCACUCUGGUGAUUCUGAGUUCCCUCUGGUAAACGGUUACGCAGUGUAUUUGUCUAAGGCUUUUAUUUUGAAAGGUAGGAACGGAUGGAUCUGAUCUGGUAUGCGCUUCCGUUGUCAAGGUCAAAAGCGGUAAUAAAGUUUGCCAUCUUAGAUCAAACUGCGGUGCCUCCGUGUGGCUCAGCGAUGUGACUCUACACCUUCAGUUUACUGUCUUUGUAAUUUUUGUGUCCUUUGUCAAACAAUACAGGCUGCUGAGAAACAUAAACGAUCAUCAGGAACGCCACUGUUGUGAUUUUGUGACGUGACGACCGUUCCACACAACAUGAUUGAUUGACGCCUUUAUUUGUUUUUCAAAACCUUAGAAAGUUUGAAAAAGAGUUGAGUUGUUUUUCGCUGCAUAAACUCCUCUCUCUGUGUGGAAGUACUCAACCAAAACAACAGUUCGAAAAAUAAAUUAACUGACGUAUAAACCACAAGUUAAAAAAACGCCCCCGGUGCGUAAAGGCCUAAAGUUUGGGUCUCAUCAUAACCUCACCAUGAAACAUCAGAAUGUUAACUGUUUUUGUCCUGUUGAAACAGAAGGAUGUGAAACUCCUUCAUUUGUCUCUCAGUGUAAUAAUCCACAGUCAAACCUCCACGUGUUGCCUUGUUAAACGUCUCCCAGGUCUCGACCCAGCUCCCGUCUGUCUCUCUGCUCCUGACGCUGACUGUACAGCCCUGCCUAUCUGUCUAUCUGUCUGUCUGUCUGUCUGUCUGUCUCUGUCGCAGCCUUCUUUUAUACAUAUAAACACAUUGGGAAAAAAACACAACCUAAAAAAAACUAGUAAAAAAAUAAAUAAAAACAAAAAUUUUUAGGUAUAAAUAAUAACAAUACUGCUAAUAAUAACAACAACAGUGCUAUUAUCAGUUACAGUGACGCGGUCAGUAUUGUCGUAACGAUGAUACGACCAGUCAGUAACACCAUGAAUUAAUCAGUAUCACAGGACCGAGCAGGGACAUGGUUACACUGGAGGUGGGAGGGCGACUGUAUGUGUGUGUGUGUGUGUGUGUAAUGGGAGUGUCAACACUCAAACACACAUACAUAUACAGAGGGAGGGGGGUGGGAUGGGGGGAGGGGGGUGUACCGCAAUAUUGAGGUGUGCUGAUGUUGUACCUGCUUGUUGCAUUGUGCGCUGUACUGUAUCUGACAAACUAACCCCAGACUGUCAACUAAUAAAUAAACAUGGACUACGCAUAUCCUGAACAGAC